CUUGGUCAUUUAGAGGAAGUAAAAGUCGUAACAAGGUCUCCGUAGGUGAACCUGCGGAGGGAUCAUUACACAAAUAUGAAGGCGGGCUGGAACCUCUCGGGGUUACAGCCUUGCUGAAUUAUUCACCCUUGUCUUUUGCGUACUUCUUGUUUCCUUGGUGGGUUCGCCCACCACUAGGACAAACAUAAACCUUUUGUAAUUGCAAUCAGCGUCAGUAACAAAUUAAUAAUUACAACUUUCAACAACGGAUCUCUUGGUUCUGGCAUCGAUGAAGAACGCAGCGAAAUGCGAUAAGUAGUGUGAAUUGCAGAAUUCAGUGAAUCAUCGAAUCUUUGAACGCACAUUGCGCCCUUUGGUAUUCCAAAGGGCAUGCCUGUUCAAGCGUCAUUUGUACCCUCAAGCUUUGCUUGGUGUUGGGCGUCUUGUCUCUAGCUUUGCUGGAGACUCGCCUUAAAGUAAUUGGCAGCCGGCCUACUGGUUUCGGAGCGCAGCACAAGUCGCACUCUCUAUCAGCAAAGGUCUAGCAUCCAUUAAGCCUUUUUUUCAACUUUUGACCUCGGAUCAGGUAGGGAUACCCGCUGAACUUAAGCAUAUCAAUAAGCGGAGGA
rnacentral:rRNA from 1 species